GACGAACGCUGGCGGCGCGCCUAACACAUGCAAGUCGAGCGAUGAAAUUUUAACCGAUCUCUUCGGAGAGAAGAUAAAAUGGAUUAGCGGCGGACGGGUGAGUAACACGUGAGAAACCUGCCUUUCACAAGGGGAUAGCCUCGGGAAACCGGGAUUAAUACCCUAUGACACAUUUCCUUCGCAUGGAAGAAAUGUUAAAACUCCGGUGGUGAAAGAUGGUCUCGCGCCUGAUUAGCUAGUUGGUGGGGUAACGGCCCACCAAGGCCAUGAUCAGUAACCGGCCUGAGAGGGUGAACGGUCACAUUGGAACUGAGACACGGUCCAAACUCCUACGGGAGGCAGCAGUGGGGAAUAUUGCACAAUGGAGGAAACUCUGAUGCAGCGACGCCGCGUGAGCGAUGAAGGCUUUCGAGUCAUAAAGCUCUGUCCUAUGGGAAGAUAAUGACGGUACCAUAGGAGGAAGCCCCGGCUAACUACGUG
rnacentral:rRNA from 1 species